GCCGGGCGCGGUGGUGCACACCUGUAAUCCCAGCAGCUUGGGAGGCUGAGGCAGGAGGAUUGUGAGUUCAAAAGCCAGUUUCAGCAACUUAGAGAAACCCUGUCUCAA
rnacentral:sRNA from 1 species